rnacentral:rRNA from 1 species
UACGUAGGGACCGAGCGUUGUCCGGAAUCAUUGGGCGUAAAGAGCGUGUAGGCGGCCUUUUAAGUCCUGCGUGAAAUCCUGCGGCUCAACCGCAGACGGUCGUGGGAAACUGGAAGGCUAGAGUGCGGGAGAGGAGAGUGGAAUUCCCGGUGUAGCGGUGAAAUGCGCAGAUAUCGGGAAGAACACCCGUGGCGAAGGCGGCGACCUGGGUCGAUACUGACGCUGAGGUGCGAAAGCGUGGGGAGCAAACAGG